ACACACAGACAGGACAUGUCCGUCCAGCAGGAGGAGCUGUCUGUGCUGCGGUUGGAGGCUCAGGCUCUGAGAGACAGACAGGUGGAGCGUGAGGUGGAGCUUCAGCAGCUCAGGGAGGAGCUUACCCAACAGGUGACUCUGAGACAGUUGCAGUGUGGUGCUCUGCAGUCAGCUGUGGAUAAAGAGAAACAGAUCAGAGAGAUCAACGAGUGUCAGCUUCACACCACCAUACACACACUGCAGGUCAGUACACACACACACA